ensembl:lncRNA
AAAGCUGGGAGCGGAGUUCACUUUGCCUCUGGAGCAGGACGUAACCCGGUCUCACACGAGGCACUGAAUGUCUACCACAGACUCGUGAGGUUUAGGUUUUUUAGCAGUGUAUCUGGAGGAUAGAAAUCUUCCAGUUUUUUAGCAGCUUUGAGGAGUAAGCAGUUCCCCCCCAGCGUGAUUAAAAACAUCAGAAGAAUGCUGCAUCAUAAAGCGAAGGAUGGAGGCUAUCUCCAGGACUGGAUUCUGAUCGGAUUCACGGCUUUUCCUAGAGCCAUAGGAAGGAGUUAAGAGAAAGCAAGCGCUUGCUGGUAUUCUGUUCCUUUGUCCCCUGCUCUGUGCUGCCAGAGGAUGCGUUGCACUGAGCGGCGGCAUGGCACCUCUGCUUCAGAAAUACAUUGAGCUUGGCAGGCCCGUGCUCAGGGCAGGGGGAAGGCGUGCACCGCACUGAGAGCAAGCAGAUGGGAUUAGACACAGUUUAAUCACUUAUGUGGGGCUGAGCCGAUUGCCAGGAUCGGAGUGGUACCUGCACAAGCCAGGGUUUGGAAGAGGCUGUCUAUGCGGCACCUGGCCUGCCCGCGCUCCAUGCAGUGUCUGCGCAUCCCUGCUGACCUCAAGGCCGUCGGUCUGUCCUUCUGUCCAUCUGUCUUCCCGUCAGCAAUGGUUGGCUGAUGCUCUGCCAUGAGGAACAUUUAGAGGCCUGAAAGUUUGCAUAAAGAGGAACUCCCAUGGAGUCCCAGACUCAAAAGAGUAAUAUUACCAUUGGUGCACAUCAGGUGAUUUCUCCAGGAUGGCACAGCUGUCUGCCAACGCCAGUGCCUCCAGCACUUGCCUGAAGCACAGCUGGCUGUACACUGAGACCCAGUGUGCACUUCCUACAGCAGAUAGAUCAGAUGCAGAACCAUUUCCUGCCUCAUCUGGAACUCAUGGCAUAGCACAAGUCAGCCAGGGAGUCCCAGUGUGCCAAGUGUCCGCCAGGAUGAAGCUGUGCUCCUGUUUCCGUGAUCGCUUCUGCAACCACAAGGUCUGGAGAAAGCACAGGCCAUGCAGUCCAUCCCUAGCUAUGCACUUGAGGAAGAUGGCAAAGUGGUGUCUGAUAGCAGUAAGUUAUCCGUGGGUGAAGACAUGAUGUCCUUUUUAGACCCAUCACUUUUUCUUUCCUCUCUUCCCUCUUUCUUUUCCCCAUCAGACAUUGCCUUGCUGUCUUGGCUAUGAUGAGUGGUUGGACUUUUCCUCUCUAGUGCUGAACUGGGGGCGCUGUCCUUGCCAUGGAUGCACAAACAGCAUCAUGCCGUGCCCUUUUAUGUACCUUUAGUCAGCACUACAGUGCUCGAUUCUCUUUCUCCAGCCUUCUGUAGGUCAUUCAGUGUGAAGCUGCAGCAUACGCAGGGCUGGUGAGUAGGACCCCAUCUAUCCCAGCCCAACCUGCCAGCCAGGAGGCACGGAGUGACACGAGGCUGCUUUCCAUGGAACUUGAGCUGAACGGCAAUGUGUGCACGUUCAAAAUAGCUGUGCAUUUCAAAGGAAGAAACAUCUUUCUGAUUGGUUUCAGGUUUAUAAGUUUCAAACUCAAUCAGAGAAAGCAUUUCUGGUUCACAAAGCCAGACUUCCCCUGUCGGCCUCUUCCUCCAGCCACGGGCAUUUCCCAGCCACCUGCGCGUGUGACACAGCUGGUGGACAUGCCCAGCAGAAUGAGGAGCUGCCAGCCCUGCAAGCUUUGCUCAGUGCAGCUCACAGACUGCCCUUUGCCAGCCUCCAGGCCCAGAAAGCACAGAGACAGGACACUUGUGAAGCAGUGGCCCCCAGCCUCUCCCAGCCUGCCACAUCCCCGCUCCCCAAAACUCCCUUCAGCUGUGCCAUGUGCCAGGAGCAGACGGGCACCCCGCUUGUCCUUAUUGUUAGAGCUCAGGGACUGUCCUUCUGAUGGCCAGAGCCUGCUGCUCAGGCUGUGCCACGUUUGUCUGCAAGGAAAUGGGAUGUUUAUGUUUAUUCAAAUCGAUACUGAUGGAUUACAUUUUUGUUCUGUUUAGCAGCUGCUUGGAUCAUUUUAUACCACAAAAGGUGAUUAAGAUCCAAAGUACUGUAGGGCUGUGUUACGAGUAAGAGCCGUUUAAUAGCAAUAACAAUGAAUAAUAAUG